GGAUCUUCCAGUUCUGCUGGACUCCGGCAGCCAUCCAGGCCUCUUGGGGAGAGGACCCUGAACCAAUGAGGCUAACCUGCAACAUCAAAUGCAUAGGGACUUUGGGCACAGAAAGCAGCUUCUGCCAGAAAGUUGCUGCAGUUCCACCUUUUCCCACCAGAUGGUGCUACGGUGUUAGAACAGAGCAGCAGCUCCCAGCCAGCUAGGGAAGAGAAAGAGCCUGCCUUCUUCAUACUGCCUGUUGGGCCAGAUUUUUUAUUUUUUUGGCAUAGAAUUCCCCCAGGAAGGAGAGGAGGAGCAGGACAAGGAGAGGGAGAAAGCCAAGAGGGAGAUGUGAUGCUCCCUAAAGUUAUCUAGGGUUGUGAGGCACCUCAUCACUGGCACCUGCCCUUAGUGAGAAGCAGUCUUGUCUCUAUUUGAUGUAGAUCAGCUCCCUGAAACCACCAGCCUCUGGCAGCACAACCACUAUGAUCCAGGCCUCGCUCUCUCU